rnacentral:tRNA from 1 species
GGCGCUGUGGCUCAAGUGGUAGAGUGCUUGCCUUGCAUGCAUGAAGCCCUGGGUUUGAUUCCUCAGUACCA